CAAACAUCGCCAACAACGUGGCCAUACACGAGACACGCUCCAACAGCAAGUCAAUAAUAGGAGGAACACUCGAACGUCUGUUUCUACAGCCAUGCCUCCAGCUGACAGACCUGUAAGGGAGCCCUGUGCAGAAAACGAGAUGGAUGGCCAAUCCGGACCUCCGGUAGAUGUUGAUCUUCAUCACCUAGAAGCUAAUAAAGAUAACACUAUUAACACGUCAUGGCUGGAACAGAAAGAUACAGAAACAGGAGAAUGCUUAUAAGUCUCAGCGACCGUUAUCGGAGCUGAUCAAUUUGUAAAACAGACAUGUUAAAGUGAUUUCAUCAUCUGUACCUGUGUACCUUGAGUUGAAGCAUGUGCUACCACGUUUUUGCAACCGUUGCCGGGGCAAAAACAGUUAUAGUAAAGACAUUUAGUAGUUUUAACUCGAAACACAUAGACAUUUCAAUAGGUUAAAUAAUUAAAAUGCUUUUAUCCAGCCAUGGCCGUUUUCACGCCAACACGUUUUUAUUAAUAAAUAUUAGUACGUUUUUUAAA